ACGGCCACACUGGAACUGAGACACGGUCCAGACUCCUACGGGAGGCAGCAGCUAAGAAUCUUCCGCAAUGGGGGCAACCCUGACGGAGCGACGCCGCGUGGAUGAUGAAGGCCGUAAGGUUGUAAAAUCCUUUUGUCGGUGAAGAAUAAGCGGGGGAGUGGAAAGCCCCCGUGAUGACGUUAGCCGACGAAUAAGCCCCGGCUAAUUACGUGCCAGCAGCCGCGGUAAUACGUAUGGGGCGAGCGUUGUUCGGAUUUAUUGGGCGUAAAGGGCGUGUAGGCGGCUCAUCAAGUCUGGUGUGAAAACGCAAGGCUUAACCUUGCAUAGGCGCUGGAAACUGGUGGGCUUGAGUUCUUGAGGGGAAGCUGGAAUUCCAGGUGUAGGGGUGAAAUCUGUAGAUAUCUGGAAGAACACCGGUGGCGAAGGCGAGCUUCUAUCAGAGGACUGACGCUGAGGCGCGAAAGCGUGGGGAGCAAACAGGAUUAGAUACCCUGGUAGUCCACGCUGUAAACGAUGUGCACUAGGCGUGGGGCCCGUACGGGUUCUGUGCCGUAGUUAACGUGUUAAGUGCACCGCCUGGGGAGUAUGCUCGCAAGGGUGAAACUCAAAGGAAUUGACGGGGGCCCGCACAAGCGGUGGAGCAUGUGGUUUAAUUCGAUGUACACGAGGAACCUUACCAGGGCUUGACAUGUGCGUGAAUGUCUGUGAGAGCGGGCAGCCCCGCAAGGGGCGCGCACACAGGUGCUGCAUGGCUGUCGUCAACUCGUGUCGUGAGAUGUUGGGUUAAGUCCCGCAACGAGCGCAACCCUUACUGUCUGUUGCUAACGGGUGAAGCCGAGCACUCGGACGGAACUGCCGGUGACAAACCGGAGGAAGGUGGGGAUGACGUCAAGUCAUCAUGGCCCUUAUGUCCUGGGCUACACACGUGCUACAAUGGCAAGUACAAAGCGACGCAAAACGGCGACGUCAAGCAAAUCGCAGAAAGCUUGUCUCAGUGCGGAUUGGAGUCUGAAACCCGACUCCAUGAAGUUGGAAUCGCUAGUAAUCGCGCAUCAGCAUGGCGCGGUGAAUACGUUCCCGGGCCUUGUACACACCGCCCGUCACACCACCCGAGUUGGGGGUACCCGAAGUCAGUUGCCUAACCGCAAGGGGGGCGCUGCCGAAGGUAUGCCUGGUGAGGGGGGUGAAGUCGUAACAAGGUA
rnacentral:rRNA from 1 species